rnacentral:tRNA from 1 species
GGGUAUAUAGCUUGAUGGCAGAGUGCCUGUUUAGCAUGCACGGGGUCCUGGGUUCAAUUCCCAGUACUUCCA